UGCAAGUCUCAGCUCAAGCGAAGAGAGCAACUUUGCCCUUCUUCCACCUUUUCGUGCUCUUUGGUCCUCAUCAGAUUAGAGGAUACCAAUCCGAGUUAGCGAGGAUGGAUCUUCUUUGCUUAGUCUACCGACUCAAAUGUUAAUCUCUUUCAGAAACACCUUCACAGACAAACUCAGAAAUACUGUUUUAGAAAGUAUCUGAGUUUCCUUAGCUCAGUUGAGUUGACAUGUAAAAUUAACCCCAGAAAUAAGUCAAACAUAUGAAGCCAGAGUUGAAUUUGUAGGUAGAAGUUCCAGCAGAGUGCUACCUGCCAUUGCCAUUAGCAAAGGAGGCAUGGCUCUUUUAUAUAUCUGAAUCCUCAGGAUAGAAUCUCUUGAUCCCAUAGUUGAGAAAUGCCAGGUUCCUCCUCUUUGCUCAUCUCCUUAAAUGAUAGGGAUGUGUUUACCCCAGAUUGCAGAUCUGUGUUAACGGGAGCAGAACUUUUUGGAGGAGGAACUUUCAUUGGCUCACUCUGCCUGCUCUAAAUGGCCUUUGCUGCCCCACUAUUGACUUUUAUAUUUUUCAAUUGCAAUUAGACUCAACAUGCUCAGUGGUGAUCCAAAAAUAGCAGCCAUUUUGUAUCGUUCCUCACCCACAUUCUGUUGUAUUCUUCCUGUCCUGACUUCCUGAGUCCCUCACCCAUUUAGGGUCAUAUAUGUAAGAUUCUACCUCUUUCCCGAUCUUAUCUCUCUUCCGAUCUCUGACAGCUCCUCACCUUGUCAAUUGUCUCUAAUAAUAUACACUUUACAAUACAGUGCUAAUAAGACUCAAGGUAGCAUUUCAGUCAUCUACAGUGUCAAAAUGGAGACUAGAUAUACUGCAUUCAAAGAAAAGGUGCCAAUUAAAUGUAUUCUCUCUACAGUCAGUGUUCCAGUAUCAUACUAUAACAUGAUCUGUAUCCUUGUUAUCCAAUAUUAGAUACUAUUGUAACUUGUAAUUCAGACUCUCUUUCUCCAUUUUCAAUAUUAACCCCAAGCAUAUUUUCAUAAUGACUACAAAGCUUGGCAGAGGGAUUUCCAAAUCAGGGAAUGCUGAGACCUAGAGCCUUGGCAGAUGCACAAAAGUGGAGGAAAGAAGCAGAACACUUAUAAUACAGGAGGAAGCAUAAUUUUUAAGAUGAAAGUUUGAAGUCUGUCACAAUUAAAUUGAAAUCUUUACCACUGGUUAACCAUCUGACCUUAUGCAAAUAAUUGACUUUUCCACCCUCAAUUUCUUUUUUAUUAAAGUGGGGUUCUUAAUGCUAGUUCAUUGGGAGAG
ensembl:lncRNA